GUGGCAGACGGGUGAGUAAUGCGUAGGAAUCUACCUAGUAGUAUGGAAUAGCCAUUAGAAAUGAUGGGUAAUACUGUAUAAUCCCUGCGGGGGAAAGAUUUAUCGCUAUUAGAUGAGCCUACGUUAGAUUAGCUAGUUGGUAAGGUAAUGGCUUACCAAGGCUAUGAUCUAUAGCUGGUCUGAGAGGACGAUCAGCCACACUGGAACUGAGAUACGGUCCAGACUCCUACGGGAGGCAGCAGUGGGGAAUAUUGGACAAUGGGCGAAAGCCUGAUCCAGCUAUGCCGCGUGAGUGAAGAAGGCCUUCGGGUUGUAAAGCUCUUUUAAUAGGGAAGAUAAUGACGGUACCUAUAA
rnacentral:rRNA from 1 species